CAGGUCACUCCUACGGGAGGCAGCAGUAGGGAAUCUUGCGCAAUGGGCGAAAGCCUGACGCAGCCAUGCCGCGUGAAUGAUGAAGGUCUUAGGAUUGUAAAAUUCUUUCACCGGGGAAGAUAAUGACGGUACCCGGAGAAGAAGCCCCGGCUAACUUCGUGCCAGCAGCCGCGGUAAUACGAAGGGGGCUAGCGUUGCUCGGAAUUACUGGGCGUAAAGGGCGCGUAGGCGGACAGUUUAGUCAGAGGUGAAAGCCCAGGGCUCAACCUUGGAAUUGCCUUUGAUACUGGCUGUCUUGAGUUCGGGAGAGGUGAGUGGAAUGCCGAGUGUAGAGGUGAAAUUCGUAGAUAUUCGGCGGAACACCAGUGGCGAAGGCGACUCACUGGCCCGAUACUGACGCUGAGGCGCGAAAGCGUGGGGAGCAAACAGGAUUAGAUACCCUGGUAGUCCACGCUGUAAACGAUGAGUGCUAGUUGUCGGCAUGCAUGCAUGUCGGUGACGCAGCUAACGCAUUAAGCACUCCGCCUGGGGAGUACGGUCGCAAGAUUAAAACUUAAAGGAAUUGACG
rnacentral:rRNA from 1 species